UCGUCCUCAAAGAGGAAAGAGUCUUUGCUUUUCAGAUCUUAUUCUUCCCAAAGGGUAUUUAUUAUUUUCCUCCUCAUUUCGUUUCUUUUUUGCUUUGAUCUGAUUCUUGUACUUACAAAAUGAUUUUUAUUUUUAUUUUUGGUGAAGAAUCAGUCCUGUGUUAUGUUGAGGUUUGAAUCUAAUUCGUCAGUUUAAGAAAGAUUUGUGUAGAUAUGUGACAAUUAUCAUUGAUCUAGAUUUUUUUUAAAAUUAUUUUUUUAAUUUUAAAAAUAGUCACAUACAGAGGCUGUACGUGAUCUUUUUUACAUAUAUCAUUUCUAUGUGUCGCAUGUGUUAGGACACGGAUCAAAGAAUGAGGCAGAUCGAAAAUUCAAGUGGGCUGCACGACAGGAAACAGUGAGGAUGGAUCAUCCACUGUUGAAACAUUCGUCUGGCCAUAGAAGUUUUGGAUCAGGCUAAUAUUUUUGUGUUUUCAGUUCAUCACAGUAGGAAUGAUGUUAUGAAUGAUAUAGAUGACAUAUAAACAUCACAUAGACCCAAGGAAGUUUUGAAUGGUGAAUGGAAAUGCUGGAGUUGUAUGUUUUUAGAUGAGAUGGCGGUUGGGAACUCUCACCAACUGCAGUAACUCCAAUGUAUUGAUGGAUGCUUUUGCAAAAGAAGGGAUUGUCAAGGAAGCGUAUAAAAUUAUCAGAGAUGAUGUUUUAAUAAACACCUACAAUAUAUUUAGGGAUUGAUACGGCUAUCAAUGCAAAUAGACAAUCCACAAGAUGUUCUGAUUCUAUAGUGGCUAAGAGUCUUGCUACUCAUUUGUUACUUAUCAGUAUCCACUCAUUGGUGGGCACGGCCAUUACUGGGACCAUUAAUGGGACGUGAGCUGUCACAGAUUGAGGUUCGCAUCAGUGGUAACUAUACCACCUUAAGCUUAGAGUACUACUGGGAAGAUGUGUUCAAGGGAUCCAAUCCGUUCAUAGAUGCUUCACCUCAUAAAACAUCCAGAGCUGAAAAAUCAGCCUUAUCCAAAACUCACAUGGGCCACAUUAGGUAGCAUAUUGAUGGGGAAUCUCCACCAUUCAAUAACAUGGGGGACCCACCAAGUUGUGUAUAUAUAAUCAAGGACAUUCAGACCCUUCAAACUGUCCAUAUAAAGGGUCAGGCCAAGAUUUGAGCUGUUUUAGAAAUUCUAGGCUGAGUGCCCCCCUCCCAGCUUGUUCUGUCUUUUGCAGCUAACCUUAGUUUUGGAUUGGGCUGAGUUUUAGAUGCUAUGGGUUUUCGGAGGUGAUGAAUCUGAUAGGUGGGUUGGAUAGUGUGAAUACAUCACAUUCACAUAUAGGUUGGAUAGUGUGAAUACAUCAAGUGGGCCCCACAUCUGCCUAGUACCACCAUUGUGAUUUUUAUGUAUGUUGAUCAAUGUCUUAGUAAAUUAAGCCUGUUUUAGAAGACUGAUGCAUUUCUCACACAUGGGGCAAAAUGGCUACUGGGUCGACCUAUAAGUUCUCCUGAUAAUGGCCGAGAAAUGUUUAGACGGGUGCAUGCACUUCCUGUUUUAUUUAACUGGCUCGCAUGAUAUGAACAAGAAUGUCUAGAUAUAUUGCCAAGUUGAGCCAUUCCAAGAUGGGUGUUAUUCACUUUGUUGCACUUGAGAUUGGGCCCCACUAGCCACAAUGGAAUCAAAGAAUUCUAUUGCACCAUUCAUUUUCCUUUAUUUGUAUCAAUUUAUUAAUAUAACCAUACAUGAUUAACCAUCACUGGUAUUAAUUUGUCCUUCUCUGUUCACCCACCCUUCUUUGCAAAGAGCAUCCAUCGGUGUGUUGAAGGUUAUUGCAAUUGGUGAGAUUUCCUAGAUCCAUCAUCUCACUGAAUAUUGAGAAUCAAAAUGAAAUAUCUAUGUGCCGUUAUUCAUGCUCGAAGCCAUAGGUACAAAGUUGAGAUGAAAACUCAUAUGUGGGCCACAUGCAGAUCAUAAACAUUCUCUAUUGUGGGUUUGUCGUACCCAUGUGAGCAGCUACACAUUCUAUACAUUUUAAUCAUAGGGUCUCUUAGAAGGUAUGUAUAUUUCCAUUUUCAUAGCUUGGGGCUGUUUGGUUUUCCAAUUUCCUAUGUAAUGCAAAGUAAAUGAGCCAUCAUUAUCAUUUUCAAUUGUUUUUUUAAUAUGGAAUUACAGCUCAUAAAAAUGAGAAAUGUAAAGGAAAUUGUAAUCAUUACAUUUUCACAUUAUAAAAUUACCAUUUUUACAAUGAUUUCUGGGUGAAACAAACAAUGUAGCAAAAUCAUCAUUGCAGUCAAAUGUAAGUGAUGUCACCACACAAUUACAAGAAAUCAUUACCCAUUUACAGCCAUUCACCAUUUAAUUGGAAAACCAAAUAGGCCCUUGAUGCUUUUCCCUUUUGCAAUGGAGCCUCGUAGUUGCCGUUAUUGACAAUGAUCCUGUAACUGUUUUUUUUUGCUUGAUUUUUGGAUACAUGUUAUUAAUUGUGUAAAGAAGGGUCAUAUUCUAGGAGCACAGUCUGUCCAGUUUCUUCUGUGAAUUGUGGAGGUUCUCUUUUGUAUUUGGCAAAAUUCGUGUCAUUUUCUAUCUUCGAUCUAAUUGUUUCUUCCAUGUGAGAACAAAGGGAAAUGAAUUGGGCUGACACUUAUAGAGUGUGUUUGGAUACUGGGAAUCCCUAUGGAAAUGGAAUUCUCUAGCACAAGAAAUAAGGUGAUCAUGGAAUCCACUUUCUAUUCUCUGACCGUUGUCUAACGAAUUUGGGGAUUCUACUUUCUGGUUGCUAUCCAAACAGGCACCUCAUUUUUGUCAUCCUAUUCCAACAGCGAUCAUGGAAUCCAAAUGGAAACCACUUAUCCAAACAUACCCUUAGGUGAAAGGUGUCGGGUGAAACUUUUUAAGGGGAAUGUUGCCCCUGCCUUGACGUUUCCAUUGUUUUUGCAACAGAAUAUUUCAUUGCUUCGAACAAUCUGUAUUGUAAUUAUCAAUUCACAGUUCUUUACAUAUAUAUGCCCUUUUACCAGUUCUCACUUUGUGGAUAUGAAAGGUCAGUUUUUCAGGGAGAUGGAAUCCUUCAACAAAUGCAGAUGACAGUUUGCAUCAAAAGGUCACAAAAUCCAUAUGGAAUUACGAUUUAUUUCUUGCCUUGAAGAUGUUUCUUAUUGUGAUUUUUAAGUGAAUGGAGCAUGUUUCUUACCUUGAUUUCAUUACAUACCACAUGGCAUCUAUGUAAAGAAAAUUUUACUGGUUUUGUGGGUCUGACGACUAUGAGCUUGAUCCAAGGUCACACUGACCUUAGCCAUCCAUUUGAGCAUGGCCCAAAAGUAACCCUGUCUUAGCCAUUCAUUAGGGGACUAUGAGGUGUGGAUUGCAAGGUUAAAAUUAUUAUUAUUUUUCCAUUAGCUAGCAUAUCUUAUUAAGGAUUUCUCAUGUACUUCUAUUC